ACCACAGCAUUCGACCACAGCAUUCAACCACAGCAUUCGACCACAUCAUUCAAUCACAGCAUUCGACCACAGCAUUCGACUACAUUAUUCAACCACAUCAUUCGACCACAACAUUCAACCACAGCAUUCGACAUUCGAUCACAGCAUUCGACUACAGCAUUCAACCACAGCAUUCGACCACAGCAUUCGGCCACAGCAUUCAACCACAGCAUUCAACCACAUCAUUCGACCACAAUAUUCGACCACAGCAUUCAACCACAGCAUUCGACCACAGUAUUCAACCACAACAUUCGACCACAACAUUCGACCACAGCAUUUAACCACAACAUUCGACAUUCGAUCACAGCAUUCGACUACAGCAUUCAACCACAAUAUUCGACCACAGCAUUCAACCAGAGCAUUCGACAUUCGACCAAAGCAUUC
rnacentral:sRNA from 1 species